rnacentral:lncRNA from 1 species
CCGGGCGCGUUGUGAAGCGGUCCGUAUUCCGUGCCUUCUUACAGCCCUGAACAUCCCACGUCUUGGUUUGGCUUCCUGGUACAGGAUAUUUGCACUUGGCAUGGAGUGAUGAAGCAGCACGGUGUACUUUUAUUAAAAGCACAGAUUUCACCAGUGUAGAAGCAGUUCAUCAAAAAAAACA